UAGUCCACGCCCUAAACGAUGUGCGCUGGAUGUCGGGAACACAGGUUCUCGGUGUCGGAGCUAACGUGUUAAGCGCACCGCCUGGGGAGUACGGCCGCAAGGUUAAAACUCAAAGGAAUUGACGGGGCCCGCACAAGCGGUGGAGCAUGUGGUUUAAUUCGAAGCAACGCGCAGAACCUUACCAGCUCUUGACAUGGUGGUUGCGGUUCCGGGAGACCGGUUCCUCAGUUCGGCUGGGCCAUCACAGGUGCUGCAUGACUGUCGUCAGCUCGUGUCGUGAGAUGUUGGGUUAAGUCCCGCAACGAGCGCAACCCUUGCCUUCAGUUGCCAGCAGGUUGGGCUGGGCACUCUGAAGGGACUGCCGGUGGCAAGCCGGAGGAAGGUGGGGAUGACGUCAAGUCCUCAUGGCCCUUAUGGGGCUGGGGCUACACACGUGCUACAAUGGCGGUGACAGA
rnacentral:rRNA from 1 species